CCUACGGGUGGCAGCAGUGAGGAAUAUUGGUCAAUGGGCGCAAGCCUGAACCAGCCAAGUCGCGUGAGGGAUGACGGUCCUAUGGAUUGUAAACCUCUUUUGUCGGGGAGCAAAGCCCUCUACGUGUGGAGGGAUGGAGAGUACCCGAAGAAAAAGCAUCGGCUAACUCCGUGCCAGCAGCCGCGGUAAUACGGAGGAUCUGAGCGUUAUCCGGAUUUAUUGGGUUUAAAGGGAGCGUAGGUGGAUUGUUAAGUCAGUUGUGAAAGUUUGCGGCUCAACCGUAAAAUUGCAGUUGAAACUGGCAGUCUUGAGUACAGUAGAGGUAGGCGGAAUUCGUGGUGUAGCGGUGAAAUGCUUAGAUAUCACGAAGAACUCCGAUUGCGAAGGCAGUUCACUGGACUGCAACUGACACUGAGGCUCGAAAGUGUUGGUAUCAAACAGGAUUAGAUACCCUUGUAGUC
rnacentral:rRNA from 1 species